CAUUUUUGCUUCCAACUUUAUGCUCUGCUAACCUAGAGGUCCUAGUUACAAAGAAUACAAAGAAAGGCAUGUUUCCACCAGGAGACACAGCACUAAUCCCACUGGACUGGAAGUUAAGACAAAGAAUGCAAAGAAAGGCAUGCUUCCACCGGCAGACACAGCACUGAUUCCAUUGAACUGGAAGUUAAGACCAAUGCUCUGCAACUUCGGGCUCCUUCUGCUUCUGAAUCCAUAUGCAAAGAAGAGAGUCCCUGUGCAGCUGGGGUGAUGGAUCCUGGCUUCUAAGAAGAAAUUGGCCUAUACUACUCCACAGUGGAGUCUGUACUACGUUGUAAUCAGAAAACACGUUCAGCUGAGAAGCAAGGAUUGGCAACAGCAUCAUCGGUUUGAGGCUGCAUACACGGACGGAGCUGGUUGGCCUGGUCUGGGCUGGGAGCAGCUGGAGAACAGCUUCCAGUGGUCAGCUGGGCAGCUCCCCCUCGGCUAGAGGAUGACCCAUCUUACGCCUAUGGAGAACACUGCGGAAAUCACAGCAGGGGAGGUUUAAGCCCUCUGGGCCUCCCUCGUCGGGCACAAAGGAGACAGCUGACCUGACCACGUACCCCCGUAGCAGCCGGAGCUACUGCCUGUCCGUCUGACCCAGCCCGGGCCCCGGUGGUUGGACUUGGCCACUGCUCUCCUCGCACCUGCGUCUGGUUUUGUUUACUCAUUUGUGUAAACAGCACACAGCUCUGUGCGUGCUGGGAUUUCUACAUCCGUGUGUCUUAGGAAGGGCAGAGACCAAGACUGUCCUCAAGUUGUGUAACGGACAGAGCUGGCAUACGAUGGAAGCUGUAAAGACUGAGUUUAGUUUAAUAUACCCAGUCACUUCCAGGGCACAGUUGACGGAGGCGAUGUUGAAUGCACAGCCCGAGUGUGUGGUCGGCCGGCUCCCGCUGCAGCAGGCGACCCUCCGUAUGGACAUCCUGCCUGCGAGGCCAGCAGCUGUCACGAGAACAGAGCGACGAUUGACGAUGCCGAGCUGAACGACAAUGGAGCAAAGCAGCAUUUACUUCAGCACAGCCUGGUGGCCGGAGCUAGGCCACCCUCUCCUCCCUGGGGACCUCCAGGCUUGAUGGAGCCCCUUCAGUGGACAAGUGGAACCACAGGCCUGAGAAGCUCUGCUGGGGACAGAGGCUAAACAGAGAGAAGGCCCCAGGCUUGGGCCAGUUCUACACAACGGGCAGCUGAGAUGGAGGGACGCCUGCAUCCUGCCGGCUUCCUCCACCCAACGGCCCCUGCUGACAUGUGUCCCCAUCUCCUCACACUGCCCUGGCCGUCCACUGCCCUGCGAGGCCUCUGAGGACAGAAGAGGAAGAGAGCUGCAAGGCUGGCACGGACACAGCCCCAUCCCCUGCGGUUCCUUCAGGGCAGGUCCUGCUCUGUGUUCACCAAUGGUGGCUGCGCAGUCCCACCCUGGGAACCUCAGUAAACGUCACCCACUGAAGACUCAAUGCUCAGGAGGUGGCCAGCCUGCACACAAGACCUCCAGGACCUCCUGCACUGAAUUAAAACUCAGGAUGGGAAAGGCUCCCCAGCCCUGGAGCCCUGACAGGGGUAAGCCCCCGAGACCCCAGUUCUGCCCAGAACUAGCCCUGAACUUGGAUGUGUGCAGGCACUCAAGGCAGGGGUGGACCAGCACAUGCCUGCAGGGGCUUUAGUUUAAAUGUAUAUGAUGCAUAUAUACGAUGAACACACAUGUAUACACACGUGGUGUAUACACAUGCGGCAUCUGCACACGACGUAAAUGCACCUGGCGAGUACACACGUGGCAUAUACAUACAUGCCCUGCAUAUACAACAUGGCACAUACACGCAUGAUAUACACACACAUGAUGAGUUAAAACCAGGCAGGAAAUUGCCUGAGGUGGCCCAGCUGGAGGAGGCCUUUGAAGCCAAGCACAGGACCCUCCAUUAAAGAAGAAUGACACCAAUGGUCACAGCAGUGCUGGUGCACACAGGAGGAGAGCGGGCUCCAUCCCUCACGUCCCCUUGGGUCACAGAAAUGCUGGUGAACAGUGGUGGAGAGGGGGCUCCACCCCUCAUGUCCCCUUUGCUGCUGUUUGCCUUAAUUAUGUGUUUGCAUCCACAAAACUACUUUUGGAUUCUGUGACUCAAAGAAAUGCAAAAUUAAAAAAUAAAUCUGCAAAAGUCCACCUGGUUUUCAAUCAAACCUGUCUUUCCUUCCACCCUCACCCCUCCUAAAAGAGAAAGGAAAGCUGUUGGGUGAAGUGUGGCUCCCAGUCAGGGACAGGGAUCAGCCCAG
rnacentral:lncRNA from 1 species